rnacentral:lncRNA from 1 species
GCUUUUCUAAUUUCUUAUGGGAGAAACUGAGAUCAUUUUAUAAUAUAGGAAUUUUGUUUCUAAAUUUCCUCCAUACAUGGUAUUGCCUUAGAAUGCCAUAAAAUCUGAUAUGGCUUGUUUUUAUUUUCAUUCAAUUCAAAAUGCUUUCUAACUUCACCAUAGGUUCCUUUUUUAAUCAACAUGUUAUUUAGAAGAAUGUUAUUUUCUCCUCAAACAUUUGUGGAUUUUCCAGAUAGCUGUCAGUUAUUGAUUUCUCAUUUAAUUCCACUGUGGUCCAAGAACAUCCUUUGCAUGACUUGAAUUAUUAAAAAUUUAUUAACACAUAUUUUAUGGCUUAGAAAAAAGGUUUACAAGCUUUCUAUAAAGCUUCAGUUUUCUAUAAAGGUAAAUUUAAAUUAAUUCUAUAAAGGUAAAUUUAAGCUUUGGGCCACAUGUAAUAUUUUUCAUAUAUUUUCUUUUUUAAAGAAUUUUUUAAAAUGUGAAAAACAUUCCUAGUUCAUAGACCAUAUAAAAACAGGCCAGUUGAUAUAUACAUAUGGUCUGUAUAUCUAUAUAUGGUCUAUAUAGGUAUGUUUCACAUAUACACUUUAAAGAGUAUGUGUAUUCUGUUGUUAAUGGAGUAUUCUAGAAAAGUCAAAUAAGUGAUAUUGGUUGAUAGUGUAGAGUUUAACUUGCUAAGUUUCUACUUGUUCUGGUAAUUAUUAAAAGAAGGGUAUCCAAAUCUCUCACUAUAGUUGAGAAUUUGUCUGAGAAUUUGUUUCUCCUUGUAGUUCUAUCAAUUUUUGCUUCAUAUAUUUCAAAGCUAUAUUAUUUGGGAUAGGAACAUUUAAAAUUAUUAUAUCUUCCCCAUUAACUUGCCACUUUAUUAAUAAGAAAUUACCUUUAUCCCUGGAAAUACUCUUUGCUUUGAAAUGUACUUUAUUUCAUGUUAAUAUAGAUGUACCCUUUCACUUUUAACUAAUGCUAGCACCGGUAAAGUAUAUCUUUUUCUCUCCUUUCACCCUUAUUGUUUUUGUGUCUUUGUAUGCAAAAUGUGUUUCUUAUUGAUAAUAGCUAGUUGGGUCUAGUUUUUAAUAUAAUCUGACAGUCUUUGCCUUUUAAGCUUUUUAAUUUUGUUUGUUUUGUAUGUAAUGUUAGGGGUUGAAUUUGGAAUCUCACUUGGCAAUACCCCUAGUCUAAUAUUUGCCUUUUAAAUGGAUGUUUAAAUUAUUUAUAUUUAAUGUGAUUAUUGAUAUGACUAGAUUUAAAUUUGUCUUCUUGCUAUUUUCUUUUUGUUUCAUCUGUUCUUUGUCCCUUUCCCUCUCUUUCUGCCUUCAUUAGAGUGAGUAAUUUUUUAUGUUUCUGUUUUACCUCCUUUGUUGGCUUGUUAGCUAUAACUAUUUUGUUUUUCUACUGGGUGCUACAGGGUUUACUGAAUACAGCUUUAACUUACCAGAGUCUACCACCAAAUGAUAAUACACCACAUCACAUACGCCAAAAGAACCUUACAACCUCAUUCUUCCACUUCUCCCCUUCUUGCCUUUCAACUUUUGUCAUAUAUUUUA